AAAAUAAAUACAGAGAGAGACAGAGCCGACAAUAAAUACAACGGAAAAAGAAAACACAAACGUAAAGGCACACAAAGAUGAAGAAAUCAGGAGGGGCAGCAGACAAGAAAAGGGUUCGAAGAUCAUCAGGAGCUGUACCAAAUGGCACCAGAGAUCUAAACUCUGAUACCCCUCGUAGGGGAAUAUGAAUAAGGUGUUUUCUUGUAAAAUGGGACCUGAAAGAUGCAAACUUUG